rnacentral:rRNA from 1 species
GAUGAACGCUGGCGGCGUGCCUAAUACAUGCAAGUCGAGCGAACAGACGAGGAACUUUCUUCUCUGACGUUAGCGGCGGACGGGUGAGUAACACGUGGAGAACCUACCUAUAAGACUGGGAUAACUUCGGGAAACCGGAGCUAAUACCGGAUAAUAUAUUGAACCGCAUGGUUCAAGAGUUAAAGACGGUUUUGCUGUCACUUAUAGAUGGAUCCGCGCCGCAUUAGCUAGUUGGUAAGGUAACGGCUUACCAAGGCGACGAUGCGUAGCCGACCUGAGAGGGUGAUCGGCCACACUGGAACUGAGACACGGUCCAGACUCCUACGGGAGGCAGCAGUAGGGAAUCUUCCGCAAUGGGCGAAAGCCUGACGGAGCAACGCCGCGUGAGUGAUGAAGGUCUUCGGAUCGUAAAACUCUGUUAUUAGGGAAGAACAAAUGUGUAAGUAACUAUGCACGUAUUGACGGUACCUAAUCAGAAAGCCACGGCUAACUACGUG